AUUGAACGCUGGCGGCAUGCCUUACACAUGCAAGUCGAACGGUAACAGGUCUUCGGCUGCUGACGAGUGGCGAACGGGUGGGUAAUACAUCGGAACGUGCUCAGACGUGGGGGAUAACGAGGCGAAAGCUUUGCUAAUACCGCAUACGAGCUAAGGAUGAAAGCCGGGGACUGCAAGGCCUUGCGCGUUUGGAGCGGCCGAGGGCAGAGUAGGUAGUUGGGGGGAUCAAAGCUUACUAAGCUGACGAUCUGUAGCUGGUCUGAGAGGAAGACCAGCCACAUUGGGACUGAGACACGGCCCAGACUCCGGCGCGGAGCAGCAGUGGAGAAUCCUAGAGGAGGCAGCAAAGCCGGAUCCAGGAAUGCGGGGUGAAGGAUGAACCAGUUCGGGUGCUAGAGUGCUGAAGGCCGUAGGGUAGUGGAUCUGGCUAAUCCGUGACGAUAAUGACGGUACCGGAAGAAUAAGCCCCGGCUAACUACGUG
rnacentral:rRNA from 1 species